GAUGAACGCUAGCGGGAGGCUUAACACAUGCAAGUCGAGGGGCAGCACGGGUAGCAAUACCUGGUGGCGACCGGCAGACGGGUGAGUAACGCGUAUGUAACCUACCCUGUACAGGGGGAUAACCCGGAGAAGUUCGGACUAAUAUCCCAUGGAAAUAUUGAGAGGCAUCUUUUGAUAUUUGUUAAAAAUUUAUUGCUGAUAGAUGGGCAUGCGUUCCAUUAGGUAGUUGGAGAGGUAACGGCUCACCAAGCCCACGAUGGAUAGGGGAACUGAGAGGUUGGUCCCCCACACUGGUACUGAGACACGGACCAGACUCCUACGGGAGGCAGCAGUGAGGAAUAUUGGUCAAUGGGCGAGAGCCUGAACCAGCCAAGUCGCGUGAAGGAAGAAGGAUCUAUGGUUCGUAAACUUCUUUUGCAGGGGAAUAAAGUGCAGGACGUGUCCUGUUUUGUAUGUACCCUGAGAAUAAGGAUCGGCUAACUCCGUG
rnacentral:rRNA from 1 species